GGGCCCGUAGCUCAGCACGGUAGAGCGCUCGACAAUAGACCGAGUGGCCGUGGGUUCAAAUCCCACCGGGCCCG
rnacentral:tRNA from 1 species